UUUGACUUCUCCUUUGAUUCAAUUCACAAAGCCCUUCAUCUACAAACAAGACAGACAGCCGCUUAAGACCAACAAAUACACAAUAUGAACCCUAGAUCUGGAGAUUUUUUCAAUCUUUGUGUCUCUUUCAUAUCUAUCUCUAACUCUCUAAACUGGUUUGUUUGAUCUUUGAUUUGGACGUUGUUAGAAUACAUCUCUAUUUCUAUGUGCAUAAAUCUCAUGUUUAAUUGAUUUUUAUUUUGCCAUACAAGCAAGCUGAGCUUGAAUCACUAAGCCCAUGAGACCAGAUACUUUCUACAUCUGAAUCUUUAGUUGGUAUCAAUUUUUUGCCCAUUUCUCUAUAAUGUUGCAUCUGGUUAUUUCCUUUAGGUAUUUUCUUUAGUGGGUGAUUAGGGUUUUUACAGCUUCUUGAAAUUAGGGAUUUCAAUUGGGCUUGAAAUCAAGGGCUGGUGCAUUCAAAUGGAGAGGUAGGUAAAUGAAUUAAAAAAGAGCGGAGGAAAUAAAGAAACCAAGAUAGAGAAUAUAGAAGAGCUAGCAGUGGAGAGCUCAAAUCAAAUUAAAGAAUCUUUGUCGUAGAUUGAUCUUCAUAGCAACCAAGUUAUUGGUGGAUAUUAGAUGGUAUAUGUGGUUUGGUUGUAACACUGGUUAUCAGUGCAUAAUGAUGAUUUUUGUUUACAAA